rnacentral:rRNA from 1 species
GAUGAACGCUGGCGGCGUGCCUAAUACAUGCAAGUCGAGCGAACGGACGAGAAGCUUGCUUCUCUGAUGUUAGCGGCGGACGGGUGAGUAACACGUGGAUAACCUACCUAUAAGACUGGGAUAACUUCGGGAAACCGGAGCUAAUACCGGAUAAUAUUUUGAACCGCAUGGUUCAAAAGUGAAAGACGGUCUUGCUGUCACUUAUAGAUGGAUCCGCGCUGCAUUAGCUAGUUGGUAAGGUAACGGCUUACCAAGGCAACGAUGCAUAGCCGACCUGAGAGGGUGAUCGGCCACACUGGAACUGAGACACGGUCCAGACUCCUACGGGAGGCAGCAGUAGGGAAUCUUCCGCAAUGGGCGAAAGCCUGACGGAGCAACGCCGCGUGAGUGAUGAAGGUCUUCGGAUCGUAAAACUCUGUUAUUAGGGAAGAACAUAUGUGUAAGUAACUGUGCACAUCUUGACGGUACCUAAUCAGAAAGCCACGGCUAACUACGUGCCAGCAGCCGCGGUAAUACGUAGGUGGCAAGCGUUAUCCGGAAUUAUUGGGCGUAAAGCGCGCGUAGGCGGUUUUUUAAGUCUGAUGUGAAAGCCCGCGGCUCAACCGUGGAGGGUCAUUGGAAACUGGAAAACUUGAGUGCAGAAGAGGAAAGUGGAAUUCCAUGUGUAGCGGUGAAAUGCGCAGAGAUAUGGAGGAACACCAGUGGCGAAGGCGACUUUCUGGUCUGUAACUGACGCUGAUGUGCGAAAGCGUGGGGAUCAAACAGGAUUAGAUACCCUGGUAGUCCACGCCGUAAACGAUGAGUGCUAAGUGUUAGGGGGUUUCCGCCCCUUAGUGCUGCAGCUAACGCAUUAAGCACUCCGCCUGGGGAGUCCGACCGCAAGGUUGAAACUCAAAGGAAUUGACGGGGACCCGCACAAGCGGUGGAGCAUGUGGUUUAAUUCGAAGCAACGCGAAGAACCUUACCAAAUCUUGACAUCCUUUGACAACUCUAGAGAUAGAGCUUUCCCCUUCGGGGGACAAAGUGACAGGUGGUGCAUGGUUGUCGUCAGCUCGUGUCGUGAGAUGUUGGGUUAAGUCCCGCAACGAGCGCAACCCUUAAGCUUAGUUGCCAUCAUUAAGUUGGGCACUCUAAGUUGACUGCCGGUGACAAACCGGAGGAAGGUGGGGAUGACGUCAAAUCAUCAUGCCCCUUAUGAUUUGGGCUACACACGUGCUACAAUGGACAAUACAAAGGGCAGCGAAACCGCGAGGUCAAGCAAAUCCCAUAAAGUUGUUCUCAGUUCGGAUUGUAGUCUGCAACUCGACUACAUGAAGCUGGAAUCGCUAGUAAUCGUAGAUCAGCAUGCUACGGUGAAUACGUUCCCGGGUCU